AUUCGAUUAGAGUUUGAUCAUGGCUCAGAACGUACGCUGGCGGCACGCCUAACACAUGCAAGUCGAACGAAGUAGCAAUACUUAGUGGCAGACGGGUGAGUAACAUGUAGGUAUCUGCCCUUUGGCCUGGAAUAACACGAGGAAACUUGUGCUAAUACCGGAUAAGUCUUUACAGAGAAAGCUUUAUGCACCAUUGGAUGAGCCUGCACUUGAUUAGUUUGUUGGUGGGGUAAUGGCCUACCAAGACUGUGAUCAAUAGCUGAUUUGAGAGGAUGAUCAGCCACAUUGGGACUGAGACACGGCCCAAACUCCUACGGGAGGCAGCAGUGGGGAAUCUUGCACAAUGGAGGAAACUCUGAUGCAGCGAUGCCGCGUGAGUGAAGAAGGCCCUUGGGUUGUAAAGCUCUUUCGUCGGGGAAGAAAAUGACUGUACCCGAAUAAGAAGGUCCGGCUAACUUCGUGCCAGCAGCCGCGGUAAUACGAAGGGACCUAGCGUAGUUCGGAAUUACUGGGCUUAAAGAGUUCGUAGGUGGUUGAAAAAGUUGGUGGUGAAAUCCCAGAGCUUAACUCUGGAACUGCCAUCAAAACUUUUCAGCUAGAGUAUGAUAGAGGAAAGCAGAAUUUCUAGUGUAGAGGUGAAAUUCGUAGAUAUUAGAAAGAAUACCAAUUGCGAAGGCAGCUUUCUGGAUCAUUACUGACACUGAGGAACGAAAGCAUGGGUAGCGAAGAGGAUUAGAUACCCUCGUAGUCCAUGCCGUAAACGAUGUGUGUUAGACGUUGGAAAUUUAUUUUCAGUGUCGCAGCGAAAGCGAUAAACACACCGCCUGGGGAGUACGACCGCAAGGUUAAAACUCAAAUGAAUUGACGGGGACCCGCACAAGUAGUGGAGCAUGUGGCUUAAUUCGAAGAUACGCGCAGAACCUUACCAACACUUGACAUGUUCGUCGCGACUCUAAGAGAUUAGAGUUUUCGGUUCGGCCGGACGAAACACAGGUGCUGCAUGGCUGUCGUCAGCUCGUGUCGUGAGAUGUUGGGUUAAGUCCCGCAACGAGCGCAACCCUCACUUUUAGUUGCCAUCAUUUAGUUGGGCACUCUGAAAGAACUGCCAGUGAUAAGCUGGAGGAAGGUGGGGAUGACGUCAAGUCCUCAUGGCCCUUACGUGUUGGGCUACACACGUGCUACAAUGGUAUCUACAACAGGAAGCAAAACUGCGAAGUUAAGCAAAUCCUUAAAAGAUACCUCAGUUCGGAUUGCACUCUGCAACUCGAGUGCAUGAAGCUGGAAUUACUAGUAAUCGUGGAUCAGCGUGCCACGGUGAAUGCGUUCCCGG
rnacentral:rRNA from 1 species